CGCAGGGAAACGCCGUUCCGGCGGGAAAUGCCGCUCCGCCGGCAGCCGCCGCACGGCCUGCUGGGAACUGCAGUCCGGCGGCGGGACCGUGAGGCGAGGGAGGGCGCGGCUCCGGCCUCGGAGCGGGGGCACAGAUAAGGGCCACCACACGUCAAAGGGAGACGCUGACAUGAAGGAGUCCUCCAACAGUUUAUUUCUCUUUGACAACCGUACAGGUGGGAACGAGCCCCGCCACCUCCCAGCACUCAGACUGGACAUCUUUGGUACAGAGACACAGGACAACUUCAUGGGAAAGCUGGCAAGACAGAAUAGCACAAGGGGCCAUCUCAAGAAGGCUUUCUGAACUUUCCAUCUGUCACAAGCACGGUUUCACCUGACUUACUCCUGUAACUAUCAUGAAGCUAACGUGAAAGUAUAAGCAAGAUACGUUUACUGACAUGCAGUGGUACAUGAAGUCCAAAAGGCAUUAAAAUAAGAAUACCAAUUAAGAAAUCUUCCAAAGAAGAAGACACUCCUGCUGGACACUGCGUAUACCUGCUGUGAAAGGCAAGGUCUGCCCUCAGGAAUGUAUCUUUUAAAUUAAAAAGAAAGGAAAGGACAGACAAGGGAAAGUAUUACAACAGGAGGCACAGUCCAUAGCAUGCAAACAUUCCCACAGACAGUCUGCAAUAAAACACAAGAUUGUUUCCAAGUCUGCCAUUUGCCAUUUCAUUGAAUUUAG
rnacentral:lncRNA from 1 species